AGGAAGAUUUGGGGGGAAGAAUUUGUUUUUUUCUCAAGCAAGUCUCACUUUGAUUAAAUAGUUAUUAGGAGCAAAAUUCCUUGUUUAUGUUUUUGUACUGCACAUUCAUACAUAUGUAUUUAUGUGUAUAUAUAUAUGUAUAUAUUCACAGACACACACAUAUACACAUUUCACACUAGAGGAAGAAAGGAUGUGAUGGGCACUGAAGAUGGUGGAAACUGAGGCA